rnacentral:rRNA from 1 species
GGGCUCACACAAGCGGUGGAGGAUGUGGCUUAAUUCGAGGCUACGCGAAGAACCUUACCUAGACUUAACAUGUUUGAGAAUCUCUGUGAAAGCAGAGAGUGCCUUUCGGGGAACUCUUACGUAGGUGCUGCAUGGCUGUCGUCAGCUCGUGUCGUGAGAUGUCGGGUUAAGUCCCUUAACGAGCGAAACCCUUAUCUUCAGUUGCCAGCGAGUAAUGUCGGGGACUCUGGAGAGACUGCCGGUGUUAAACCGGAGGAAGGUGGGGAUGACGUCAAGUCCUCAUGGCCUUUAUGUCUAGGGCUGCACACGUCCUACAAUGCAACGUACAAAGCGACGCGAAAUCGCGAGAUCAAGCAAACCGCACAAAACGUUGCCCAGUUCGGAUUGCAGGCUGAAAUUCGCCUGCAUGAAGCCGGAAUC